rfam:Myotis davidii contig185907, whole genome shotgun sequence.
GGUAUUUCUAUGGUGAUGCACGCCGGAAUCGGGCUCCCUCCUGGCUGGUUCCAGGGUGUGUCACUUGAGAACCACC